UAUUCCUUCUUCUUUUUUUGUUCUCCCCCCCCCCCCCCAAGGUAAAUCUCCUGAUCUCCUGAACACUGUAAUUAGUUAAAAAAAUUCUUGAAUUCCCCAAAUAGAUUCUGCUAUCAGUUUUCUGGAAUAGAUUCAUGGUGCUAGCUGAUUUUGAAAGAUGUAUAUGGUUCUGGCUCAUUGACAUAGCAAGUGCAUUCCAUGAUGAUCAGGUACUAUCAUCCACGGUUGCUUUUGAUUAGUAAAGAGACAUGUGGUUGCUUUUGACAGUUAUUGAAUGGGUCUCUAGAACUGGUCCUGUUUGCUGACCUUGUGGUCACUAUGUUUUCGAAGCUUUCCAUAGGACGACGGACAAUGAAUAGCUUAUUUCAACUUCUUACAGGCCGUGCACCACUUCAUUCAAUUGCUUUUGCAAGCCUUCAUAUUACGCUAGAAUGCACUGCCACCGUGAUCAUUCAUUCAUUCAUUCCUAUUUUGGGGCAAUCAUUAAUUUCUAAACAAUCCUUUGCUGUUCGCUAGCCAUUAAAAUUUGUCAUCUCUAUUAGCUUGUGGCGAUCUCUUUUAGGGCAUAUUCCCACAAAAUGUGUAUGGUAUUCAUUUGUAAUUAAGAUCACAUUCAUUUGUAACAAGGUCAUAUUGGAUCGCAUCCAAGUUUAUGUGUAAAUUAGUAAUUUAUUUACGACCAAUGUACGCUUCUUAUGAACGAAUGUGGUACGGGUUGUAUAUUAUAAUUUUUUUUUUUUCCUUCAUAUUUUGGGAUUAUAGGAUGGUUAGACAUCUCAAUAUUAUUGGUUUACCAAGAUACAUAGAUGAAAACUAGGGUCAUUUUGUGUUAUGUACCUAUUCAAGUUAUGAAGCGAUGUGCCUUUAAGUUAGGAUGCAAUGUAAUUAAAACUACAAUCUUAUCAUAGUGGAUCAUAAUUUACUGAGUCA